CCUACGGGUGGCAGCAGUAGGGAAUCUUCCACAAUGGGCGAAAGCCUGAUGGAGCAACGCCGCGUGGGUGAAGAAGGUCUUCGGAUCGUAAAACCCUGUUGUUAGAGAAGAAAGUGCGUGAGAGUAACUGUUCACGUUUCGACGGUAUCUACCCAGAAAGCCACGGCUAACUACGUGCCAGCAGCCGCGGUAAUACGUAGGUGGCAAGCGUUAUCCGGAUUUAUUGGGCGUAAAGGGAACGCAGGCGGUCUUUUAAGUCUGAUGUGAAAGCCUUCGGCUUAACCGGGGUAGUGCAUUGGAAACUGGGAGACGUGAGUGCAGAAGAGGAGAGUGGAACUCCAGGUGUAGGGGUGAAAUGCGUAGAUAUAUGGAAGAACACCAGUGGCGAAAGCGGCUCUCUGGUCUGUAACUGACGCUGAGGUUCGAAAGCGUGGGUAGCAAACAGGAUUAGAUACCCCGGUAGUC
rnacentral:rRNA from 1 species